rnacentral:lncRNA from 1 species
CAUGGAAAACAGUAUCGCUAACAAGUCAUUUACGUUGCCAUGGUCAUAAAACAAUAGAAAUCAUGAUGAUAACUCUAUAUUAUUUUUAAUUAUAAAAUUAGGUGCAUGUAUUAAUUAAUCUAAUAUUCAACUAAAUAUAUAUAAAAAUAUAUGACAUAUUAAAAGUUAGCACUACUGCGUAGAGCGCGACGUUACGAAACUAACGCAAUUGAAACGGAAUGAAACGGAGUUAGAACGAUUAAAUGGCGAAGGAUUAAUGACCAGUGGCAAACUUGUAAUUAAGUCGUCUUCUACCUUUGUCCAUCUUCAUCCAUCUCACGAAUGUGCACAGAGAAGCUGGUGUACUUCGUGGGGAAGGAGGGGCUUGGCCGGGCCUCGGCUGGACGGCCAGGCAGCGCGGCGUGCCAAGCCACGGCGUCUUAGGGGGCAAGCUCGCGAGUGGGACAGGGCUGCUCGGGGCAGCAGCUCCUGCCCGCAACUGGCAGUGGCGGCCGGCGCCCAUCCAUCGUGCGUGCGAAGGAGGGGGGGCAGUGCUGCGGCGAGGGUCGGCAGGAGGGUGGCCAGCAGAGAGGGGCACGGAGCUUGGCAUCGCUGGCCUGAAGGGCAUCGUGGCCGGCCGACGGAGAUGACGAACGAGCGCGUCCAUGGUGGAGCUCAUCGGAAAGAUGAUCGGAAAAGAAAAAAUAAUGGAGAAACGGUCAUAUGGCGGUGAAUUCGCCAAAGAGAAGGCAUGACGACGUAGAGGAGAUCAAGACAAACCUUGCAGCAGUGCCGGUUUUCACCAGAGAAGCCGGAGAUGGCUGGAAACGCUCGCCGAAGGAUCGCCGGAAAAGUUCGCCGGAAACGAGAUCCAAAACUUCGGCGAUGGAUCUGCGGGGCUACGAGUGGCGGCUUGGAAAAGUGAUCGUACUUCUGGAAUCAGCGCGUCGAGGGCUAUGCCGGCAUAUAUAUAGGUCUAGGGUUUGGAAAAGUUUCAGAAUUUUUAAUUUCGGGAUUUUAAAUAAAUCAUUUUCAGUUCCAAAAUAAUUUCAGAAAAAGCUGAAAUCAUUUUAAAUCCAUGAAAAAUAUUUCCAAAAUUCUAAAAAUUAAAGGAAAACUUUUAGAGAUAUAUCGAGAGUUGAUCAAUCUAGAUAAAGUUUUUGGUGUCCAUGAAAAAGAAUUUUAGAGCAUAUAAAAAAAUAGAUUUUGUUCUAGAAAAAAAAAUGAGAAAAAGCCCGGAAAAGUCUAGAAAAAUCUCGGAAAGGAUCGGACGGCAUCUAAACGUGUUUUUAAAAUCUUAGCACACAUGAAAAAAACAAAAAAAAAACUCAAGCAAUAGACAAGCAUCACAUCAACAAAAAUACCAUUUAAUUAAUUCCAAAACAUUUGAAAAGCACCAUUUUUCUUUGAUAAAAAUAUAUAGAAAUCUAUACUAUUGUUGACAAAUUUUAUCCACAUAUUAAAAACUAAUCAUUUUAUUUAGUAUUUUAUAAUAACAACCCAAAAUUGAAAUUUUGGGGUGUUAUAGAUCUACCCCACUUAACAUGAAUCUCGUCCCGAGAUUUGAAGAGUCUAGAGAGAUAGUCAAAGUAGAUCAUCAAGAUUGUAUUGAGACUUUUGACAAGAUAUGAUUUAGCAAUUAGGGAUAAAAAAAAUGUCAAAGAAGUCAAAGAUCAAUUCUCAAGAUUGAUUUAGAGUUUAUGGCAUGAGGUCAACGAAUUGAAGAUCUGCAUAGGUUGAAAAGCAAUAUAAAAGGAGGUUGAAAAGGUAGAUAAAGGUUGAUCACUGGGUUUUCACAUUAUAAGGUGUAAAGAUAAGGAGUGAAGAUUAGCAAUCGAUGAUAUAAACGAUAAAUCAGUGCUCACAAUUUCUUGAUUCAAGAUUUAGGAGAUAUAUGAUGAAAAUAUUAGGAAUUAUCAAAGAUUAAUGAGGAAGACAAAGAUUGAAUUUAUAUUCUUCACGCUUCAUUGAUUCCAAGACUAUGAGAUGUAAGUUCAAGGACCAAAGGUUAGCACACAAUGAUCAAAAAGAUCAAGAUUGAUGACAAAAGGAUAGACAAGAGAGAUGAAGACUUAUCUUUAGGUCUUUAUAUUAAGGGGGAUACGAUCGAAGGGCAAACACUAGUAAAAGAUGAUAAGAAGAUGGAGAUUGGUGACAACAAGAAGAUAAAGUUUGAUAUACAAGAAAUAUAGACAAGAGAUGGUCUUCAAACUUUAUUUUGUUUAAGAUAUCAAGAGUGGCAAAGGAUCUACCCCACUUAACAAGAAUUUUGUUCCACUUGGAAAUUGUUGUUGAAGUGAGUACUUUCUCUAGGGCUUGCUGCUAUUGGGGCAUCCUUUAUGUGUUGAUUCCUCCAUUAAGUUGCGAUAAAGGAAAAGGCAUAAAAGAACUAGAGUAGGUAGGGAUAGUGUAAGAGAAAAGAUGAUAAGGACCAAGGUUGAAAAUAAUAGAUUAGAUACGAGAGGACACUACCCCACUUAACACAGAUCAAACUAAACCUCAAGAAGUCACCUUCUGGGCCUCAUUCGAAACAUGAGAACAAGGACAACACACAAGCAGUACAACAAACAAGACAAGCACACAACACAUCAUCGAACUACACGUGCUUCUUCAAUAAUGGUGGUCAUCCUAAAAGGCAAGUCCGAGAUGAUGAAGGGCCAUCGAUUUUUGAAUAAAGCAAGUUUUGAAAACUUAAGUAAAACACUAAAACAAGAGUCAAGGAGAUAAACAGAAAUAGUUCAAAGACAGCUAUUCAAGGAGGGGAUACAAAAUGACAAGGGAGAGGAAAUAGUCAGAAUCAAAAAGUCAAGGUAUAAGAAAAUAGUUUUAUAGCAAAAUAAGCUUUAGAAAUCGACCAGUGCUAUCUAGGCAUACGUCCUACAGUCAACAUUGCUCUGAUAUCAUUCCUGUCACACCCUGGCUUUUAAAAUAAGACCAGAGUCGUCAUAUGUGUGCCCAGGAAGUCCACACAUAUAACAAAAGAAUAGAAAUAUCAGAAUCAAUGUUAUAUAUAGCGGAAAAACAUAUUUAUAAUAACACUUACAAAACAUCAGAGUACGCGGAAACAGUAGCUAAACUUCUUAGGCUCCAUUCUUCUCAGGGACGGUUGACUGGGGGCUCCGUACGCCAAGCACUUCCCAUAAGCUUCUCGAAAACUCCAUGACCUCUUUAUCCUUCUUCUGAGCAGCACUUUACUACACACUGGGGGUGUGGGGGAAAUAGCAAGGGUGAGUUCAUGUCGAACUCAGCGAGUACAGACGGAAAGUAUAAUGACAUGCAAGGCUUAAUCAAAGGAAAAGCUAACACUGUUUAACUGCAGGUGAGCUUUUUAGUUGGUACACUUUUAUUACAAUUCUUUUAUUAAAACAACCUAUUACUAAAUAUGAGUGAAGCAUCCCAACCCUUAAUUAGAUGAAAGUAUAUUAACGAUUUUAUUAAUCAUCAUUAUAAUUAUUACCGAGGUAGCAACCUCAGAUAGUAACUCGGGGUAGCAACCCCAUUAAGAUCAUGGGAUAGCAAUCCCAAUUUAGAACACAGGAUAGCAAUCCUGCCAACACGGAAUAGCCAUUCCGCCAAAGCACGAGGUAGCAACCUCAACCAAAUUUCGCCUCCAAGUAUCCAGUGAAUCCAAUUUGCUCAUCAAGUGAGGGUCUGGGCCGCUCGUGACCGUGAGCACGGCUGAUAUAUCAGUUUUACACUCUGCAGAGGUGUGCACGUUCACUCCAAGUCGUGAUUCCCAUUUGCUCGGGGUCAUGACUCCCCAAAACACUGUCAAGGUGAGCAGGCAGGGUCUCACUACGAGACCUUUCACAGGGUCCAACUAAUAGGAUGCCACUCGUAAGUUUUUGCCGGGGGCGCGGCAGCCGUGCCCAUAGCAAUGGGACCCCGAACUGACCGACCUCUUAAUAUGAAUACCCAAGCUACAUUCCUUACGCCUACCCGGAAAGUAACACCCUACCAGUGGAGGUCCUGCUAAUUAGUCAAGCCAGAGCCCAUAUAGCUUGGAGCUGCACUGUAAGUCCCAGGGGGCCGCUCCCUGACUAAGUCCUUACGGAGAGCAGAGACGGGUACGCCCGGCAAACCGGACCACCAACAGUACCCGCUCCCCCUUUCCUCAACCAAAACACGAUGCUCGCAAGCACCGCAACAUCUCCAUCACCGAAGUGACCAUUGUUCACCAUUUAAUCAUUAAUCAUCAUUGAAGAAUUUGUUAAGCAAGAUCAUUAUUUUUAUUAUUAUAUAGAUUAGAUGAGUAGAGCAACUAAGCAUAUCUACUGUUCACUAUACUACCCAUGUAUAACCCAGGCAUACAAGGAAUAUAGUAGGAGGCUAGUCAAGUCCUUAUGGUUUGCAGUAUUAAGACACAUACAAUGGAAAGUAAAUAUAUUUAAAGUUCAUAGGUACAAUAUGAUCAAAGGGUGUCUGCACUUGCCUUAAUUCCCAGUGUAUAUCUGCUCAGAAUUCUUUAGCUUCUUUCUCCAGAUCUCCAACUUCUGCUUCGACUAUCGGUCCUUAGCUCCUGGUCUUCACUGCUGACGAACCACGCUUCUACUCAUAGCAACCAAGCAACACGAACAGACAAACAAACAAUCAUGACUAAGAACAAACAACAAUCAAAAGAAAAGCUUAGAAAGAGCGCACUAAACGACACAACUUAUUGCUACGAUCGUGACAACGUAAGAACGAUUGAGAACGGAGCUAUCGUUAAUCGGACACGACUUUCGGGGUUCGAAGCGCAACGAAGAAGACCAACUAUUCGCUUGAUCUAUUUUAUUUGAUGAAGAGAGGUGAUAGACUUUUUAGAGAAACAACUCAAAAAGUGGAAUUAAACAAAUUAUAAUUAUAAAAAGAUGAAGUAUAGUUCUAGUCAUACUCUAUUUAUAAAUAAUUAUAGAAAUUAUUUAAACUAUUUUAGCAUUCAUAGCUUAGAAAAUAUAAAACGAGUGAUAGCAACUUAAUUAGAAUCACUAUUUAUUUUCAAAGUUAAACGGAGCAAGUCAUAACUAACAAGGUAUUUAUGUUGAUAUUAUAUAAUUAAUAUGAUUUAUGAAAGAUCAGAGAUAAACCUAAACUACUUCAAAUUCAAAAAGACAUUGAAUAACUACUAAUUAAAUUCAUUUAAAACAACUUUAUAUGAUCAUAUUUGAACAAGGCAAAUUAAUAAUUGAUAAAUACACAUUUAAGUUGACAAGUAAUUAUAAAAAGGUCAAUAUUUUUAUAUGUUACUUUUAUUUAGAAACAAAUAUGUGCAAUCAUUAAUCAAAUUAUGUUGAAUUAUAAAAACCAGAGUUAAACUUUAGUUAUAUUUUAAUUGUAGAUGAUUAUAUAUCAUUUAAGCCAUUUACGUCUUUGUAAUUUUAGAAACAUAAAGCAAGUGAGAGCAACUAAUCAAAUCCUAACAUGCUUCCAUUUAUACUAAACAAUUUAUAAUUAAUAAAGAAUCAUUUCAGUUGAUAUUAAUAAUGUUAUCAUUUAUUUAUUUAUAAAAGAUCUAAAUUAGAAACAUAAGUUAUUUUUAAUCAAAAAGACAUUAAAUAAAUAUUAAACAAAUUAAUUAUAUACUUUAUGUCUAACUAAAAGAAUUAUAAUUAAUAAAUAUUUAAGUUAACAUUAAUUAAAUUAAUAGUAUAUUAUAAAAAAUACCGAAGUGUAAACCUAAAUUAUUAUUUUUUUUAAUAAUUAAAAAUGGCACUCAACAAAAAUUAAUUAAACUAAUUAUAUUUAUAAAUAUGGGACAUGGAAAACAGUAUCGCUAACAAGUCAUUUACGUUGCCAUGGUCAUAAAACAAUAGAAAUCAUGAUUAUAACUCUAUAUUAUUUUUAAUUAUAAAAUUAGGUGCAUAUAUUAAUUAAUCUAAUAUUCAACUAAAUGUAUAUAAAAAUAUAUGACAUAUUAAAAGUUAGCACUACUGCGUAGAGCGCGACGUUACGAAACUAACGCAAUUGAAACGGAAUGAAACGGAGUUAGAACGAUUAAAUGGCGAAGGAUUAAUGACCAGUGGCAAACUUGUAAUUAAGUCGUCUUCUACCUUUGGUCCAUCUUCAUCCAUCUCACGAAUGUGCACAGAGAAGAUCCUGCUGCUGGUGUACUUCGUGGGGAAGGAGGGGCUUGGCCGGGCCUCGGCUGGACGGCCAGGCAGCGCGGCGUGCCAAGCCACGGCGUCUUAGGGGGCAAGCUCGCGAGUGGGACAGGGCUGCUCGGGGCAGCAGCUCCUGCCCGCAACUGGCAGUGGCGGCCGGCGCCCAUCCAUCGUGCGUGCGAAGGAGGGGGGGGCACUGCUGCGGCGAGGGUCGGCAGGAGGGUGGCCAGCAGAGAGGGCCACGGAGCUUGGCAUCGCUGGCCUGAAGGGCAUCGUGGCCGGCCGACGGAGAUGACGAACGAGCGCGUCCAUGGUGGAGCUCAUCGGAAAGAUGAUCGGAAAAGAAAAAAUAAUGGAGAAACGGUCAUAUGGCGGUGAAUUCGCCAAAGAGAAGGCAUGACGACGUAGAGGAGAUCAAGACAAACCUUGCAGCAGUGACGGUUUGCACCAGAGAAGCCGGAGUUGGCUGGAAACGCUCGCCGAAGGAUCGCCGGAAAAGUUCGCCGGAAACGAGAUCCAAAACUUCGGCGAUGGAUCUGCGGGGCUACGAGUGGCGGCUUGGAAAAGCGAUCGUACUUCUGGAAUCAGCGCGUCGAGGGCUACGCCGGCAUAUAUAUAGGUUUAGGGUUUGGAAAAGUUUCAGAAUUUUUAAUUUCGGGAUUUUAAAUAAAUCAUUUUCAGUUCUAAAAUAAUUCCAGAAAAAGCUGAAAUAAUUUUAAAUCCCUGAAAAAUAUUUCCAAAAUUCUAAAAAUUAAAGGAAAACUUUUAGAGAUAUAUCGAGAGUUGAUCAAUCUAGAUAAAGUUUUUGGUGUCAAUGAAAAAGAAUUUUAGAGCAUAUAAAAAAUAGAUUUUGUUCUAGAAAAAAAAAUGAGAAAAAGCCCGGAAAAGUCUAGAAAAAUCUCGGAAAGGAUCGGACGGCAUCUAAACGUGUUUUUAAAAUCUUAGCACACAUGAAAAAAACAAAAAAAAAUAAACUCAAGCAAUAGACAAGCAUCACAUCAACAAAAAUACCAUUUAAUUAAUUCCAAAACAUUUGAAAAGCACCAUUUUUCUUUGAUAAAAAUAUAUAGAAAUC